AAAAAAAGAAAUAAUCUCCCCUUUCAAAAUAAGAAUCUGUUUAGUAGCCCUCGAUAUAUUUUGCCGAGCUCGAUAUUUACAUAUUUUAAUGACGCUGUGAACGCUAAAUACUUUCUCGAUCAUUUACCAAUAUAUAUACAAUUCCAAUUCGCCAUUCUCAAGCCGUUCCCCCCAAAUGGUGCACAAGAUCAAAAGAACCGCAUUGCAGAGCUACAUUCUGUUGCAACCUUUACAUGGUUUGAGUUCCUGAACUGGAAAUCUGGAAUAUACCGAAGCCAUUGAAGUGCUUGAAUGGUUUGAAACUGAUUGUCAUUUAUCUACAUGCUUCAACCUGAAAACUUCAGUUUCCAAAACCACGGCAGUAGAGAGAAAACCUGCAAGAAGAAUGUCAUAAUUACAGGAAUGAUAAGAAAGUGCAAUAAGCUGAUGACUCGGUCACUAACCAGUUUCAUACCAAUAAAUAUGCCAAAUGCUCGCAAUCGCAUGGAUGUGCUUGUCACAACUGCUACUAGCAACACGGCAACACCCCAUGCCCUUUUCUCUGCAUAUGACUCGAUAUCUUAUGAUCAAGAACAAAUUCGAUAAUUGAUUUAUGAUGACAUUUUGAACUGCCUUAGGACCUUAAACAGAAGGAUAUAAUUUUGAGCGAAAUCAUCAAUUUGUUAGUCCAAUAUCUCACGCAUUCACACUGGCAAAAGCAAACUUUAAGACACACUGCUGGUGCUGCCUAUGGGGAAGAGACUAAUGUUCGUCAGUGUCUAUUGGAAUGGAACAUAAAGAAGCUUACUUGUCAGUCCAAUAGGCCCCUCAACUUCUAGCCUUAUGAUUGCCAAUAAUAAAUAGAACUUUCUCUUUAAGUUUAUCAAUAAUCAAGCUGGAGGUCUUUGCCCAGCUUUGAGCAGAAGCAGCAGCACUUUUAAGGUGAGAACAAUUUGGGGAAUCAAAACUUAAAGAAUAAAUUGAAUUUUCUGUUGCUUCUGCAAUCCAGAUAUUAUUUAUUUGGUCCUUUGCUUUCUUGAUGAGAUUAAUGAAACCAGCUGUGGAUCCUGCAAGAUUAUAGUUGAUUGGUGAGAAUGAAUCACCAUCUAUAUAUGGUGAGCAGAAGCUGAUGGCAAGUAAAGAAUUUGAUAUUUCUUCUGACUCUAAAGUGGAAAGAGAGUUAUCAGUAACAAAAACCCACUGUUUCUUCCACUGUGCAGUUGUGUAAACCUCUCCCACAUGCACAAUAUAUGCAGCAGUAUCAAAUUCACUGGAAAGAGGAACUUCACCCAAAUUUGACAAUAAAACUGAUACUCGAGGACUGAAAAAGGGCCGAAAGUGUUGGAUUGUGAAGGAAGAUAAGGGUUGCCAUUUGGUUGUAGAUCCUCUUGCUUGUAAGUAUAGCGUAUUUGAGUCAGAGUUCACUGGUAAAAGUCCUGCUACAGCAUAGGCCUGUCCCUCAACCAGCUCACUUUGCUGCUUUUCUGUCGGGUUCCAAAUUGUUAUUAAACCUACUUUAGGAAAGCCCUUGCCUUGAUAAUUUGUUAGUCCAACCACUCUAACCCUCAUAAAUGGGGUCACUUCUCUCUCCCCUAAGCCAGCAUCUCGCAGAGCUUUCUUAAUUGCUUCCUCCAUGUCCAAUUGCUUUAUUGCCUCUAGUUUUGCUUGGUAAGAGGCAAACGAAGUUAGUUGCUCUGGACUCAUCUCUGCCAUUAUAACUUCUGGUUCUGCUGCUGUCUCAAGUAUCUUCAAAAUUUUAGCUCCUUCACUAUCACUGUCAUUAUAAAUGUAGGACCCUUUCAUCCCUCUUUGAUACUCAGAAACAAUGCCUUCUACAACAGCCGAACGCCUCUGGUUGUAUGAUUGUGUUGUUUUAGACUCCAUUCUCUCUGUUCUCACAAUAGAUCCACCAUUAAUUAACUUCUCCUUGAACAGAACAGGAUAUAUUCGUGUGACUCCAACUAAUGUCUGAGGAACAAGACCCCCAUUACUUUUGAUGCACCUAAAUGCCAAAGGAGGACCAACAUCCUUGCAAAAUCCUAAUCGGUCAGCCCAAUGAGCUCUGUAAGUUCCAUUAAUAUGCAACAACAAACUAACUGUCCUUGGUGCCUGAAGGGGUGAAACAGGGCCAACCCAGCCACAUAAUCCAGCUCCCCAUAUUCGAAGUUUCUGGCCCACAAACAUCUUUCUAGCAGCUAGUUGCUUUGACAAUGGUCCAUCCAAAAGAGAUUCUAUUGAGUACCACCCAUCUGUUAGUUCCACUUUUGCAGCAUUACUACAUUCACCUCCAUUUGCUGCCACAGUCUCAAUCUUUGGUUCACAACUGAUGCGGAUAGCUGAAAUGCAAACAACCAACAUUGAAGAAGGAGGUGCAUCUCCUUCCAGAAUUCUCUUAAUUGCAGAACGGUGGCCAUGGUUCACUUCUCUUUCAUAUCUAUACUUCAGUUCCUCAAGCACAUUGGUGACUGUCAAAAACCUUGUGGCAGCUUUCAAGGGAUAGCAUCUCUCAUAACAUGCAAGUUUCCAAACUAUCCACUUAUAGUGAUUUGCAAUCCACUCUUUAGAAGCGUAUUGUACUGAAGCUCCUGAUUGAACCAACAUGUGGUAGAAAGCUUCUCCUCCAAUACAGUUCAGGCCAGAUUCAUCAAAAAAUGUGUACUUUUCUGCAGUAUCUGCUUUGAUCCAUCUUAUUUCUUCUGUGAAGUGCUCCAACAAGCCUUUGUCUGAGGAAGGCACUCCAAAAUAUUCCUUGAUGUACAUUCUUGGAAUAUGAAAAGGAUAUCUAGUGGAAAUUGUUCUUCUGCAGCAAGAAUUUUCAGAUGAGGAAGCAGAUAAACCACUAGGAGCAUAUGAGACAUUCCUGUUCAAAGGGGCGGUAAAUUUGGAGCUACGGGGCCUCUUGAAUGGAGAUGUAGAAGUUCCCCUUCCAAAUCUCCUCUUUUCAUUAUUUGUGUAAAAUGUGCCAAUGGUGUUUGAAAUGUCAAUCAAUGGCCCUCGAGAUGACCUUACAUUUGGAUUAAUCCUUGAACCAAUAAAAAUU
rnacentral:misc_RNA from 1 species